GAGGGCGAAGCUGAAAAAAAGCAACGCGAUAGUAGACGAUUGGGCACCACCUGUCGAACGAACAAGCCGUAAUACAAGUCUUCGUCACAUUUUAAAAGAAGUUUAGCUCAGAUAAUAAUAGUAAAAUUGCGUUAUAUAUAUUUCAUCGUAAAUAUUUUUCGGGGACCCUAUAUGCUCUCCAAAUCACUACAACAGCACAAACGUGGAAACAUUUCAGGUGAAAGACUUCAUGACAGUGAAGCCAUGUAUUUCGUUCUUUGAGAUCUGCGCUGAGAUCUGUGAGAGUUGGGAAUUGAUCUCCACACGUCUGUCUUCUGGACGUCUCCAGCUGGAUGCCGAGUCGACUCGAGCUCAACUCCGAGCUGAAAUUCGGAUGCUCUGCAGCCUCGGGUGCGUCAGCCUCCCUGCUGGACCCAUCCCUCUUCCCAGAUGGCACCAGGGUCCCGUUUUCGCCUGCUGGGUGUCAUGGAGUGGUACCUGGCUACUGACAGUUCCGCUGAGAACACCAAGACAGGCUGUCAGGCGGAGGCAGUGACAUCAUGGUCCCGUUGCAAAGAUCUCUGGAUCCCAAGAUGUGCAGGAGAUGGGGGGGGGGGGAUGCACGCCAUCGCCUAGCAACCAGACUGAGGGGAUGCCUGUUGCUGAGGAUGCCAGGACCGCCGUGGCACAGCACUGUCAGAAAGAUGCCGGACUAUAUAAGGGGAAUGUGCAUCUUUUCCAUUAGUUCACACUCCACAGCCACUGUCCUGUUGCCUGCUGAUUCUGUGCUUAUGGACUUUUCUAUAACGUGCUUAAUAAACUGGAGGAAUUGAAGGAUGAACUUUUAGAAAAGAGGACUAUCUUCAACUCUGCCGUGGGCUACGUCUACCUGCCCGGUGAGAUCCUGCAACCUGCGCUGUGCCUGUAUCUAUGCUACGUAUGGAUCCAACCACCUGCUCUGCUGUAUAAUAAACGCCUGCCAGCCUGCCUGCC